AUACGGAGGAUGCAAGCGUUAUCCGGAUUUAUUGGGUUUAAAGGGUGCGUAGGCUGUUUGUCAAGUCAGGGGUGAAAUACCUGAGCCUAACUCAGGAACUGCCUUUGAUACUGGCAGGCUGGAAUACGGAUGCCGUGGGAGGAAUGAGUAGUGUAGCGGUGAAAUGCAUAGAUAUUACUCAGAACACCGAUUGCGAAGGCAUCUCACGAAUCCGUCAUUGACGCUGAGGCACGAAAGCGUGGGGAUCAAACAGGAUUAGAUACCCUGGUAGUCCACGCAGUAAACGAUGAUAACUAACCGUCGGCGAUAGAGUGUCGGUGGCCAAGCGAAAGCGAUAAGUUAUCCACCUGGGGAGUACGUUCGCAAGAAUGAAACUCAAAUGAAUUGGCGGGG
rnacentral:rRNA from 1 species